GUGGAUAUAUGGCUGUGGGGAGUAUGGCAAGGGCUUUACAGUCAGCUCUCUGCUGCUGGCUCACCAAAGAGUGCGUACUGCGCUGAAGCCUACAUCUGGUCCCAGCACAAGAAGGCUUUGGGGGAUGGGUGGAAGCUGAUAUGCUACCCAGGUAAGCAGCCCUUCUGCUGCUUUGACUGUGGUGACAGCUUUAGUCAGAAGACCUACCUCACCCAGCACAUUCACCCACAUACAGGGGAGAAGCCUUACAGCUGUGGGGAGUAUGGGGGAGCUUCAGCCUCUGAGCCAGCCUCAAACACCAUGUGGCUUAUCACAAGCCCCAGGCACCACCUCAGGGCACGAGCCCCCUAGUCCUCCCUCUGCUAGAGCUGAGCGGAAGCCCCAGGUCCUUUAUGUCCCUACAACAACCUCCUUGUCUUCAUCUUGCCCCUCCACCAGUGAUUGAUGCUUCCACCCCGUUCAGUCCCCAGCCUCUAAUCAUGUCCAUCUUUCCCAGACUCCUCCCCUCACACCAUCCUUUAACCUCCUUGAUGCCUCCAUUUUCUCUCCCCAGUAUUUAUCAGCCCUCCCUCCUUCCUCCUCCACUCACCCCUUCCCCAGCUCUUCCUCUGCCUCAGGGACUCCUGCAGAGUCCGGACUCCAAGUUCACCCUCCAUGAUGAACCAGAAGCGGCAAUGGCUGCCAAGUUUACCUGUUCUGAGCGUGGGAACAAUUUCCCAGCCAGUGGCAAGCUUCUCCAUACAGGAUCUCUUUACCCCCUGGCCUCGUGAACCCAACACAGAAGAUGUGAGAUGAAGAUCUCAUGGGAACGACAACUUCAAGCUCUUGGCCUGUGGUAUAACUUCAGUCUGGGCUCGAGUUAUAGGAGUCACAAGACUGCCUGAGCACAAGAGUGCCUGGCUCAGCUAAAAACCUCAGUGUUCCCAGCAUUAGCUACAGAUUUCAGAGACAUCCGGUCACAGUUAUAGAUUUAUUUUUAUCGUAUAAUGUUAUAUUAUUAUGAAAUGCAAGAAGAAAAUAAAAGUACAGACUCAACCA
rnacentral:lncRNA from 1 species